CCUGUAUGUGCUGCAACAACAGCGUCUCUGCAUCCUGAGCAUGGGCCCCGCUUGGCCGAGGGUCAGCAGCGUGGUGGAGGGCAUGCAUUGGAAUACAGAUUGCCACCAAGCCUCUGGGGCCGUGCCCAUCAUGUAGCUGGGCCUGGCUCUGGCAGCCCGACAUUCGGCUGCCAACAGCUUGCAGGCCUGUUUGCUGCAUGGCUAGCAUCCUGUUUGUUGAUUUGAUGAGAGUCCCAGGCUCUCUUUGCAUAUCAGAACACUGGUCUCCCUGCACCUCGCAUGGGAUGACUGCAUCUGGACAACCGAGAUGUUCCUUGCCAUUGAUCAAACGCUCAGCAAGCUUAGAAAAUACAGCUGGAAACUCCUUGGAGCCCUCUGCCUGCUGCUCUUCAUUCACAGCCUCUCUCUGCAAAGCGGGGCUUUAUUACUCUUGGAGAAACACAGCUAUCUGUUACAAGCAUCACCUCUCAACCUGGGGCCCAGGGAGGCUUGAUCAUGAGAAGUGUCUCUUCCAUCCAGGAACCAAGGUCUGUGCUGCAUCUCCAAACCUAGAGAGAAUGAUGUGUGAUAGCCCAUCUUGACAAUCAGCACUGCUUACAGCCCCACCACCCGAAACUCUUCAUUCUGUGCAACUCAAAUUCCCUUUAGAGUAAUGAAAGGAAUCUGCUUUCCAAGAUUUUUUCAGAAGGAAAGAUUUGCAUUGUUUAAAGGAGAAGAAAAAUCAGAUGUUUAAGAAAAAAGAAAAAGACAAAGUCUUCUUUUGAGAAAUAACAACCCUGCCAGCUUACUUUGGGUCAUGAAAUAAUGCCAUCAGCAAUGACUUUGGGGUGUUCUAUCACAGUCUCAGUACACUUUCUUCCCCCUGGGCAGUAUUUUAUAGUUACUGCUUUUAUGCCCCAUUGGCUCAGACAUAAUUUAUUAUUUGUUUACAUGUUUCACUUACUCUGCUAAGGUGGAAGCCCAGUGAUGCAUUAUUGCUGAGAGCAUGAGAGAGAGAGAGAGAGAGAGAGAGAGAGUGUGUGUGUGUGUGUGUGUGUGUGUCAUUGAAAGACUCAAGGAGAUCUGACAGAUUCUGAACCUGCAACUUUUCAGAACACAAGUGUCCUCCCCAGGUCUACGGGAGCCUCCUUGGGCUUUUGGCUCAGAUCAAAUGUGUCCUAUGUCCCUAUAGUUAGUUCCUUCUACUUCUCUGAGGAGCAAGACAAUUCCAGGAAGACACAGGCUCCCCGGGCCUGUGACUUUCUAUUCUCUUCUUUGACUUGUCUUCCUGUGUAAAGAUCAAAGUCCUCCCAUCUCUGGGGGGAGCGUCACAGUUUACACAGCGCUUUCUUCCCAACAAUAGCAUAAAGAAAAUAAUACCUGCCCUUUAUCUCCACAUGAGACACUGGGAGGUCAAGGACAUGUGCAAGUUCAAAGAGCAAGAGUGGAAUCUGGCUGGGACUAGCACCCCAUGGUGGAAGAGGAAUGACGGUGGCUGGCCCAGUCACUUACAACUCUUGACCUGGGGCAGGUCACUAAAAGCUCAGGUUCUUCACCUGCUAAAAGAUGGAAGUGAUAGUGCUUACUGCACAGGGCUGUUUCAAAAAUAAAACAGAUUUCUGAAAAUGCUCA
rnacentral:lncRNA from 13 species